rnacentral:rRNA from 1 species
GGGUGAGUAAUGUCUGGGAAACUGCCUGAUGGAGGGGGAUAACUACUGGAAACGGUAGCUAAUACCGCAUAACGUCGCAAGACCAAAGAGGGGGACCUUCGGGCCUCUUGCCAUCAGAUGUGCCCAGAUGGGAUUAGCUAGUAGGUGGGGUAAUGGCUCACCUAGGCGACGAUCCCUAGCUGGUCUGAGAGGAUGACCAGCCACACUGGAACUGAGACACGGUCCACACUCCUACGGGAGGCAGCAGUGGGGAAUAUUGCUCAAUGGGCGCAAGCCUGAUGCAGCCAUGCCGCGUGUAUGAAGAAGGCCUUCGGGUUGUAAAGUACUUUCUGCGAGGACGAAGGCAUCAAGGUUAAUAACCUUGGUGAUUGACGU